GGGCAUGUGGCCUAGUGGACAAGGCGAGUGGUUCCUAACCGCUCGAUCGUGGGUUCGAAUCCCAUCAUGCCCG
rfam:Halonotius sp. J07HN4 genomic scaffold scf7180000001348, whole genome shotgun sequence.